AAGAGCUCGUAGGCGGUUUGUCGCGUCUGCCGUGAAAGUCCGGGGCUCAACUCCGGAUCUGCGGUGGGUACGGGCAGACUAGAGUGAUGUAGGGGAGACUGGAAUUCCUGGUGUAGCGGUGAAAUGCGCAGAUAUCAGGAGGAACACCGAUGGCGAAGGCAGGUCUCUGGGCAUUAACUGACGCUGAGGAGCGAAAGCAUGGGGAGCGAACAGGAUUAGAUACCCUGGUAGUCCAUGCCGUAAACGUUGGGCACUAGGUGUGGGGGACAUUCCACGUUUUCCGCGCCGUAGCUAACGCAUUAAGUGCCCCGCCUGGGGAGUACGGCCGCAAGGCUAAAACUCAAAGGAAUUGACGGGGGCCCGCACAAGCGGCGGAGCAUGCGGAUUAAUUCGAUGCAACGCGAAGAACCUUACCAAGGCUUGACAUGAACCGGAAACACCUGGAAACAGGUGCCCCGCUUGCGGUCGGUUUACAGGUGGUGCAUGGUUGUCGUCAGCUCGUGUCGUGAGAUGUUGGGUUAAGUCCCGCAACGAGCGCAACCCUCGUUCUAUGUUGCCAGCGCGUUAUGGCGGGGACUCAUAGGAGACUGCCGGGGUCAACUCGGAGGAAGGUGGGGACGACGUCAAAUCAUCAUGCCCCUUAUGUCUUGGGCUUCACGCAUGCUACAAUGGCCGGUACAAAGGGUUGCGAUACUGUGAGGUGGAGCUAAUCCCAAAAAGCCGGUCUCAGUUCGGAUUGGGGUCUGCAACUCGACCCCAUGAAGUCGGAGUCGCUAGUAAUCGCAGAUCAGCAACGCUGCGGUGAAUACGUUCCCGGGCCUUGUACACACCGCCCGUCAAGUCACGAAAGUUGGUAACACCCGAAGCCGGUGGCCUAACCCCUUGUGGGAGGGAGCUGUCGAAGUGGGACUGGCGAUUGGGAC
rnacentral:rRNA from 1 species